rnacentral:rRNA from 1 species
GUAUGCUUACACAUGCGAGUCGAACGGAAUUUUUUUUCGUGGCGAACGGGUGAGUAAUACAUAGGAAUCUGCCUUUUAGUUCAGGAAAAAUCCUGAAUAUAAAAAAAGAAUAAUUUUCGCUAAAAGAUGAGCCUAUGGAGGAUUAGGUAGUUGGUAUGGGUAAAAGCCUACCAAGCCGAUGAUCCUUAGCUGUUCUGAGAGGUUGACCAGUCACACUGGGACUGAGACAAGGCCCAGGCUUCCUAUGAAGCCAGCAGUGAGGAAUCUUGGACAAUGAGCGUAAGCUUGACCCAGCAAUACUACAUGAGGGAGGACAGCUUUUUGGUUGUAAACCUCUUUAACUGAAGAGGAAAAUGACAGUAUUCAGUUGAAUAGCCCCGGCUAACUUCGUGCCAGCAGCCGCGGUAAGACGAAGGGGGCGAGCGUUAUCCGGAAUGACUGGGCGUAAAGGGUUCGUAGGCAGUCUUUUUUGUGAAAAGUUAAAUCUGGGAGCUCAACUCCCAAACGCUUUUUAAACGUAAAGACUUUGAGUCAGAGAGGAGAUAGCAGAAUUUCACAUGGAGGGGUGAUAUCCGUAGAUAUGUGAAGGAAUCCCAGAGGCGAAGGCGGCUAUCUAGAUCUGUACCAACGUUGAGGAACGAAAGCAUGGGGAUCAAACAGGAUUAGAUACCCUGGUAGUCCAUGCCCUAAAAGAUGAGUGCUCGUGCUUAGAGUUUUUAGGCACUUAGUAAACACCUUAAGCACUCCGCCUGGGGAGUACGACCGCAAGGUUGGAACUCAAGGAAUUGACGGGGGCCUAUACAAGUGGUGGAGCAUGUGGUUUAAUGCGAUAAUACGCGCGGAACCUUACCAGCUUUUGCAUGACGAGCAAAUCUUCUUGAGCAGAAGACAGAGU